UGUUGGGUUCGAUCAAGGCAGGGGAAGAACAAGGAAACCCUUGUUUGCAAAAUUCCAUCAAAUUACUAGAAAUCUCAAGGAGAAUCUAAUGCAUGAACCCUUAUUUUCGAGUAUCUAACCCCGAUUAUUGAAGUGGCGCGAAAGAAGAAGGUUCCAACACUAGGAAAUCGGAAAGUUCACAAGAUCGAGGCGCGAAAGAAGAAGGUUCCAACACUAGGAAAUCGGAAAGUUCACAAGAUCGAGGUAAAUCCUCAAUGUAGGCGACUUGGCAAAUUGGAGCGAGCAUAUGCACACCUUAUGAACAUCAAGCGCUUCCGCUAUUAUGUAUUAAUGUUUUGGGUCAAAUGUCCGUUUUUGGUAUGACUUUGUUAGUAGUUACACUUUUUAAUACUUGGUGUAUGGUCUUAGUCGUGUCUAGUCGAACGGGUCGUAAACUUGUUGGUUUGUUGAUGGUUAAUACAGGGAUACACUUGUCUUACGGAUGGGUCAUGC